rnacentral:misc_RNA from 1 species
ACAAAUCUGUCAAAUUCCUUCCUUGACAUGAACCUUCCUCGGGUUCAGGGACAUUUAUAUGCACUCCUUGUUAACUAGCGUCUGUGGUAGGAGUGAUGAAUAAGACCAGGACAAGUGUAUUUGGCGCCAAGGAUUAUGAAGCUUGCUGCCCACAGAAUGGUCAAAACUAGAGUACAGGCCCUAGAUAGUAUCAUCAUAACGGCUUAAGAAUUGGAUUAUACAAGGAUAUACAUGUUCUGCAGCCAUGCGUCCUCCCACCAAGUCAUAAUGAGCAUAAUGCUGACCAUUAUCAUCCCCCAAUACUUUGUAGGUGACCAAGUGCUCGGGGAUAAGCUUUGCCGUUUCGAACACUGCUUCUGGCGGGCAGAUUAUGUCUUUAUCUCCAGCAACAGCCAACACUGGAACAUUGCUUUUGUGAAGAUUAUCCUUGUAGAAUAUUUUACCACUUCUGUCACGGAGUCCCCCUUCUCGAAAAGCUGUAGUCAACUGCAAAAUAAGUUUAGCAGGAAUAGUACAGAAGUUAUUUAAUACGAGCUUUUUCAGCAACUCCGGGUGCAUCAUGUCUGCAGCUGAUAUUAAAUCAUUAAGCCAAGACAACACAUAAG